rnacentral:rRNA from 1 species
UACGGAGGGUGCAAGCGUUGUCCGGAUUUAUUGGGUUUAAAGGGUGCGUAGGCGGUUUUAUAAGUCAGUGGUUAAAGACUCUCGCUCAACGAGAGGGAUGCCAUUGAUACUGUAGAACUUGAGUACUGUAGAGGUAGGCGGAAUUAGUAGUGUAGCGGUGAAAUGCAUAGAUACUACCAGGAACACCGAUUGCGAAGGCAGCUUACUGGAGAGUAACUGGACGCUGAGGCACGAAAGCGUGGGGGAUCAAACAGG